rnacentral:rRNA from 1 species
AUUGAACGCUGGCGGCAGGCCUAACACAUGCAAGUCGAACGGUAACAGGAAGCAGCUUGCUGCUUUGCUGACGAGUGGCGGACGGGUGAGUAAUGUCUGGGAAACUGCCUGAUGGAGGGGGAUAACUACUGGAAACGGUAGCUAAUACCGCAUAACGUCGCAAGACCAAAGAGGGGGACCUUCGGGCCUCUUGCCAUCGGAUGUGCCCAGAUGGGAUUAGCUAGUAGGUGGGGUAACGGCUCACCUAGGCGACGAUCCCUAGCUGGUCUGAGAGGAUGACCAGCCACACUGGAACUGAGACACGGUCCAGACUCCUACGGGAGGCAGCAGUGAGGAAUAUUGCACAAUGGGCGCAAGCCUGAUGCAGCCAUGCCGCGUGUAUGAAGAAGGCCUUCGGGUUGUAAAGUACUUUCAGCGGGGAGGAAGGGAGUAAAGUUAAUACCUUUGCUCAUUGACGUUACCCGCAGAAGAAGCACCGGCUAACUCCGUG